rnacentral:rRNA from 1 species
AUGAACGCUGGCGGCGUGCUUAACACAUGCAAGUCGAACGGUGAACACGGAGCUUGCUCUGUGGGAUCAGUGGCGAACGGGUGAGUAACACGUGAGCAACCUGCCCCUGACUCUGGGAUAAGCGCUGGAAACGGCGUCUAAUACUGGAUACGAACCGCGAAGGCAUCUUCAGUGGUUGGAAAGAAUUUCGGUUGGGGAUGGGCUCGCGGCCUAUCAGCUUGUUGGUGAGGUAAUGGCUCACCAAGGCGUCGACGGGUAGCCGGCCUGAGAGGGUGACCGGCCACACUGGGACUGAGACACGGCCCAGACUCCUACGGGAGGCAGCAGUGGGGAAUAUUGCACAAUGGGCGCAAGCCUGAUGCAGCAACGCCGCGUGAGGGAUGACGGCCUUCGGGUUGUAAACCUCUUUUAGCAGGGAAGAAGCGAAAGUGACGGUACCUGCAGAAAAAGCGCCGGCUAACUACGUGCCAGCAGCCGCGGUAAUACGUAGGGCGCAAGCGUUAUCCGGAAUUAUUGGGCGUAAAGAGCUCGUAGGCGGUUUGUCGCGUCUGCUGUGAAAUCCCGAGGCUCAACCUCGGGCCUGCAGUGGGUACGGGCAGACUAGAGUGCGGUAGGGGAGAUUGGAAUUCCUGGUGUAGCGGUGGAAUGCGCAGAUAUCAGGAGGAACACCGAUGGCGAAGGCAGAUCUCUGGGCCGUAACUGACGCUGAGGAGCGAAAGGGUGGGGAGCAAACAGGCUUAGAUACCCUGGUAGUCCACCCCGUAAACGUUGGGAACUAGUUGUGGGGUCCAUUCCACGGAUUCCGUGACGCAGCUAA